GAUGAACGCUGGCGGCGUGCCUAAUACAUGCAAGUCGAACGGACGGACGCGGAGCUUGCUUCUCUGAUGUUAGCGGCGGACGGGUGAGUAACACGUGUAUCACCUACCUGUAUGACUGGGAUAACUUCGGGAAACGGGAGCUAAUACCGGAUGAUAUUUUGCACCGCGUGGUUCAAAGGUGAAUGACGGUCUUGCUGUCACUAAUAGCUGGAUCCGGGCUGGAUUAGCUAGUUGGUAAGGUAACGGCUUAGCACGGCAAGGAUGCAUGGCCGAACUCAUAGGGGGAUCGGCCACCUGGGAGCUGAGACACGGUCCAGACUACUGCGGGAGGCAGCAGAAGGGAAUGUUCCGCAAUGGGCGAGAGCAUGACGGAGCAAGGGCGCGUGAGUGAUGGAGGUCUCCGGAUCGUAAAAACCUGCUACGAGGGAAGAACAUAUUUGUAAGUAACUGUGGACAGCUUGACGGUAACGAAUCAGGAAGCACCGGCUAACUACGUG
rnacentral:rRNA from 1 species